GAUGAACGCUGGCGGCGUGCCUAACACAUGCAAGUCGAACGGACUUACAUUGAAGCCUAGCGAUAUGUAAGUUAGUGGCGGACGGGUGAGUAACGCGUGGGUAACCUGCCGUAUACAGGGGGAUAACACUUAGAAAUAGGUGCUAAUACCGCAUAAGCGCACAGUUUCGCAUGGAACAGUGUGAAAAACUCCGGUGGUAUACGAUGGACCCGCGUCUGAUUAGCUAGUUGGUGAGGUAACGGCUCACCAAGGCGACGAUCAGUAGCCGGCCUGAGAGGGUGAACGGCCACAUUGGGACUGAGACACGGCCCAAACUCCUACGGGAGGCAGCAGUGGGGAAUAUUGCACAAUGGGGGAAACCCUGAUGCAGCGACGCCGCGUGAGUGAAGAAGUAUUUCGGUAUGUAAAGCUCUAUCAGCAGGGAAGAAGAAAUGACGGUACCUGACUAAGAAGCACCGGCUAAAUACGUG
rnacentral:rRNA from 1 species